GGGAGUAAAAGGAGGACUUAGAGAGGCAGUAUAAUCAGAGAUAAAGACAGGGAGGUAUAGAGAUUGAACAUGGAGGAGGACUUAGAGGCAGUAUAAACAGAGAUAAAGACAGGGAGAUAUAGAGACUGAACAUGGAGGAGGACUUAGAGGCAGUCAGAGAUAAAGACAGGGAGAUAUAGAGACUGAACAUGGAGGAGGACUUAGAGGCAGUCAGAGAUAAAGACAGGGAGGUAUAGAGACUGAACAUGGAGGAGGACUUAGAGGCAGUCAGAGAUAAAGACAGGGAGAUAUAGAGACUGAACAUGGA
rnacentral:lncRNA from 1 species